AUUGAACGCUGGCGGCAUGCCUUACACAUGCAAGUCGAACGGCAGCAUGGAGAGCUUGCUCUCUGAUGGCGAGUGGCGAACGGGUGAGUAAUGCAUCGGAACGUACCGUGUAAUGGGGGAUAACGUAGCGAAAGUUACGCUAAUACCGCAUACGACCUGAGGGUGAAAGCAGGGGAUCGCAAGACCUCCUGCUCGUGGAGUGGCCGAUAUCUGAUUAGCUAGUUGGUGAGGUAAAAGCUCACCAAGGCGACGAUCAGUAGCUGGUCUGAGAGGACGCCCAGCGACACUGGGACUGAGACACGGCGCAGACUCCUACGGGAGGGAGCAGUGGGGAAUUUUGGACAAUGGGCGCAACCCUGAUCCGGCAAUGCCGCGUGAGGGAAGAAGGCCUUCGGGUUGUAAAGCUCUUUUGUCAGGGAAGAAACGGUUUUGGCUAAUAUCCAGAACUAAUGACGGUACCUGAAGAAUAAGCACCGGCUAACUACGUGCCAGCCGCCGCCGUAA
rnacentral:rRNA from 1 species